rnacentral:rRNA from 1 species
UAUGUGAUCGUCUCUCGCAUAUCAAUAAGCGGAGGAAAAGAAACUAACAAGGAUUCCCCUAGUAACGGCGAGUGAAGCGGGAAGAGCUCAAAUUUGAAAUCUUAAAGGGUUUCCCUUUACGAAUUGUAGUUUAAAGAAGUGUUUUCUGUUGAGGUUUUGGUAAAAGUUCUUUGGAAUAGGACAUCAUAGAGGGUGAGAAUCCCGUAUUUGACCUUUACUUUCAACUUUGUGAUACACUUUCAAAGAGUCGGACUGUUUGGGAAUGCAGUCCAAAAUGGGUGGUAAAUUUCAUCUAAAGCUAAAUAUUGGCGAGAGACCGAUAGCGAACAAGUACCGUGAGGGAAAGAUGAAAAGAACUUUGAAAAGAGAGUUAAACAGUACGUGAAAUUGUCAAAAGGGAAGCGUUUGACACCAGUGUUGUUUUUCUGAAAAUCAAUUAAAGAACUGUUUAUGCUAAGCUGUUUAGACUUUAUCAGCUAAUCUGUUUAGUUUUGAGCUUUUCUUUAAUGCACUUUUCAGUUAACAAGUCAACAUCAAUUUCUUUUGCUGUAAAAAAGCUUGAGGAAGGUGGCUUGAGAUUCGUCUUAAGUGUUUAUAGCCUCUUGCCUAUGCAGUCGGAGAGAUUGAGGUCUGCAGCGUAGAUCCUUCGGGGCUAAAUGCAUUUGUGCUAAGUUAUAGCAUUUUAUAGACAACUUGUUGACUAUGAUUUGUCUUGUAGCUUACUCGCUUAUGUUAUUUUACCUACGCUUAGGAUGUUGAGUAGCGACAUACGCAC